AUUCUCUUAGGAGAGUCCAGGAAAAAAAAACAAACAACAAAACAAAAUGGAUCUCCUCUUGGAGAUUUACCAAAAUGAAAUUCUUCUGGAGUAGCCAAAUUGACUUCCUGUUCUACUCCUACACUGCACUCAGUUUUCUGGGCACCUAAGGAAAGCGGUGGAAACCCUGCGUUCCAGUCUGUUAAAUUUAUUGGAUCAGACACUGAGGUGUAGACUCUCACUCGCCCAUUGAAGCGUAUUUCAAACUUCUGUUGCUUCCUCAACAGUCUGAGAAACAGAAGGCAUUUAAGUCUUCCCUGAAACAUUUCCACUAAAGCCUGCUUUAGAAGGAAGAGUGAGGAAAAGCACGGCUGUGCAGUGAAGAGAGAUCCAGUCGUGCUUCCGCUGUUAAAGAUCUAACAAGAACAGCAGUGCCUGGUUUUUUGUUGCUCUGACAAUUUGUAGGAAAACCUCACAAGGUUUGAGGGCUGCUCUCCUAUCAUUUUGGUAUUCUGUUCCUGAAGUGGGUCAAUAUUUAAUUAAAGCAUUGUUCUGGCAGAGCACAGAGCAUUCUGCAUUUAACUUCCUAAGUAUUUGUUCCUUUCAGAACCUGGUGGAGGAGGAGGUUGGUUAAAAAUAACAUGAAAAGGAUUCUUUGAGCUCAAGUAUUAGGAAUGGAAUGUUAUCUACAGAAUAAUCCCAAGAGCAAGAAUGGAAAAAUAUCCCACCCUGGCAAGAAUUCUUGUAAAAUAAGGCUACAGCACUUAAACAAGGCUCUGCAGGGAAACCUGUACUGCUGCUACUCAUCCUAGGUGUGCCAGAGGAAGAGCAGGUUUCUGUUACUAGGCCUGAACAAAUACAUAAGCUGAGUUUUAGUGGAGCAAGUGCUCUGCACCAGCAGAGUGAGAACAUCGAAACAAAGGGAGAAUUAAACAGCAGAACACAGUGGUUCAGGUAGCUGCUCUUUCUCAUUUUAUUAAAACUCAGGUGGAUGGAUGCUGCUUUCCUCCAGUUCCAAGCAGGAAAUGUGCUCCUGACCAGGGUGUCUCCCAAGUGCAGUGAGGGUACAUAAAACUUCCAUGACUGGAUGAGUUUUCCUGCUCUGUUACAUGUUCCAGUUAAUCAUCUCUCUGCUUUGUCCUGCUUUUAUGUUAGCACCUUAUACUGACAGAGAACUUCAACCAUAAGGCAAUCCUGUAUUUGUUUGAAUAACUACCACAGGUUUAUAUAUAUAUAAAAUAUAUAAGAUAUAUAUAUAUAUAACUAGCAUAGGUUUAUACAGAUGUAUAUAUAAAAGAAAGGUGUGAUACUACACUUAGGAAAUGGAAUUAAGGACUGCAAGUCUAUAGGCAACACAGUGUAACAACAGCCUCAGAGUUCUUACCUUUGGAACUCUUGAGCAGAAGGUGCCAUGAGCUUAUCCAGUGUUUUUUCCGUAGAGGAAAAUGGUGAGUUGCUUAGUGCUAAUAUAUCUGGAGCUGAGCAUAGUGUGCAGCAGUAAAAAGGAUGGUCUGAAAACAGGUAACUUACUGGAUCCAAGGGAGCUUGCUCUUCACUGUUGUGAAUUCCUUACAAGAAACAGAGGACAAAUCCUACCACCCACAUUUGACAGAUUGUUUCCACUCUAAGAGCUCUCUUACCUAGCAGGAGGUCAAAGCUCAGAUUAGCAGAACUCUGUUCCUGAUACAGAUGUAUUAAUUCUGUUGGUAGCUUCCUGUAAUCUUUUUCUAGAAGCCUCAAACCACAGAUGCUGAAAUUUAAGUAUUUCAACUAAAAAAGAAAAAUUCCCUCAAAUUGUGUUUGCACAGUUUGGUACCUUCCUGAUUUUAAAAGUGUUAUUGCCAGUUUCCUUUCAUAAUUAAUAUAUCAGGUAGGUGAUUAUUCAUAUGCCAGGAAAAAUACAAAGUCAGAAUUCUUGGUAAGUUUUAACCUGAAGAGAAGAGGCUACCACAGUAACAUCUGGUGUGUUAUCACAUACCCUGUAUCUGGGGUGGUCAGGCUGUUAUCAUGAAAAUGGCAAUGUCACAUUUUUGCUGUGAAAAUUGCAAAUCUGAAGUAAGUGAAGGACCACGUUGGAAUUUUUUUUCAUUUCUUUUACACUUUCAGGUGGAUCUUACACAGUGUGGCACAUACAGUGCUUCAAGGAUAUUUAUUUCAUAACAAGUUCUUUGCUGUUAAACCUCUGGAGACAAUUUACACUUCUCUGGCAGUUGGAUGAAUAAGCAAACCUGAGUUUUCCACCUGCUUUAUAGUUACAAUACAUCAAACUUUAAACUGCAAAUUGGCAAGUAUUGUUCCUACCCUCAUUCUCUCAGCUAAAAUUUCAUAUUGAGAUUAUUUGUUCCACUCACUGUUAAUUAUUUUUUUAAUGUACUAGGAAAAAGUUUAUUAAGAGCUGUAUCUACAGUAGAACUCUAAGUUCUUUCCCGGUAAGUUAUUAGUAUCCUAUUUAUUCCUAUAAGAUUUUUUUUCCCUAUGGUAUAGAGUGUGGCACGAGCAGUUCAAACUUCUAGAUGAUUGCCCAAAUAGUCAAGAAGAGGCUGAAAAAAAGAAAACCCACACAAUAUUCCUUGUGUGCUGCUGAACUUGUGGCACGGACAACAUGGAUACGAGUAGCUCCUGUUGUUACCCUGAUGUUGGAUACUGCAGUUCUUUCCAUACUGGUUUUGUAUUUUUCCAGCUGAAGGAAAAAAGUCUUUUAAAGUUACUGCAUAUUUUGUCAACUCUUUCAUUUUGACUCAGAUCGUAUGAAGCACAUACAUAAAAGAAGUCUACAGAGAGAUAACUACACUAGUUUUCAGUGACAAGGUUUAUCUGUAUUUUAACAGUUAAACCCACUAUGUUAAUAAAACAAGACUUCUGAACAAUAA